GACGAACGCUGGCGGCGUGCUUAACACAUGCAAGUCGAACGGAAAGGCCCUGCUGGCAGGGUACUCGAGUGGCGAACGGGUGCGUAACACGUGGGUGAUCUGCGCUGCACUUCUGGAUAAGCCGGGGAAACUGGGUCUAAUACCGGAUAGGAGCCAUUUUUAGUGUGAUGGUUGGAAAGUUUUUUCGGUGUAGGAUGAGCUCGCGGCCUAUCAGCUUGGUGGUGGGGUAAUGGCCUACCAAGGCGGCGACGGGUAGCCGGCCUGAGAGGGUGGACGGCCACAUUGGGACUGAGAGACGGCCCAGACUCCUACGGGAGGCAGCAGUGGGGAAUAUUGCACAAUGGGCGCAAGCCUGAUGCAGCGACGCCGCGUGGGGGAUGACGGCCUUCGGGUUGUAAACUCCUUUCGCUAGGGACGAAGCUUUUUGUGACGGUACCUAGAUAAGAAGCACCGGCUAACUACGUG
rnacentral:rRNA from 1 species